rnacentral:misc_RNA from 1 species
UACGGAGGGUGCGAGCGUUGUCCGGAAUUAUUGGGUUUAAAGGGUGCGUAGGCGGCUAUAUAAGUCAGAGGUGAAAUCCCAGGGCUCAACCUUGGAACUGCCUUUGAUACUGUAUAGCUUGAGUAUACUAGAGGUAGGCGGAAUUGAUGGUGUAGCGGUGAAAUGCAUAGAUAUCAUCAAGAACUCCGAUAGCGAAGGCAGCUUACUGGAGUAUAACUGACGCUGAGGCACGAAAGUGUGGGUAUCGAACAGG